UCCUACGGGGCGCAGCAGUCGGGAAUAUUGCGCAAUGGAGGAAACUCUGACGCAGUGACGCCGCGUAUAGGAAGAAGGUUUUCGGAUUGUAAACUAUUGUCGUUAGGGAAGAGAAAGGACAGUACCUAAGGAGGAAGCUCCGGCUAACUACGUGCCAGCAGCCGCGGUAAUACGUAGGUGGCAAGCGUUAUCCGGAAUGAUUGGGCGUAAAGGGUGCGCAGGCGGAACCAUAAGUCUGAAGUAAAAGCCAUCGGCUCAACCGAUGUAAGCUUUGGAAACUGUGGAUCUAGAGUGCAGGAGAGGAG
rnacentral:rRNA from 1 species